GAUGAACGCUGGCGGCGUGCCUAAUACAUGCAAGUCGAGCGAACGGACGAGAAGCUUGCUUCUCUGAUGUUAGCGGCGGACGGGUGAGUAACACGUGGAUAACCUACCUAUAAGGCUGGGAUAACUUCGGGAAACCGGAGCUAAUACCGGAUAAUAUUUUGAACCGCAUGGUUCAAAAGUGAAAGACGGUCUUGCUGUCACUUAUAGAUGGAUCCGCGCUGCAUUAGCUAGUUGGUAAGGUAACGGCUUACCAAGGCAACGAUGCAUAGCCGACCUGAGAGGGUGAUCGGCCACACUGGAACUGAGACACGGUCCAGACUCCUACGGGAGGCAGCAGUAGGGAAUCUUCCGCAGUGGGCGAAAGCCUGACGGAGCAACGCCGCGUGAGUGAUGAAGGUCUUCGGAUCGUAAAACUCUGUUAUUAGGGAAGAACAUAUGUGUAAGUAACUGUGCACAUCUUGACGGUACCUAAUCAGAAAGCCACGGCUAACUACGUG
rnacentral:rRNA from 1 species